CCCUGCCUCCCCCGGGCAGCUUACCUUCCUCUCUCAGAGCCAAUGUCUACUGCAGCCAAGCCUUCAGGCCAGGAGCCCGUGGCUCCGGAUCCCACGUUGCCAUCACUCAACUGUUCACUUGACCUGUUAUGAGAAAUAUUCAUUAAAGACCUGCACUACCCUAGGCACCGGGGGAACAGCGGGAACAGGACCAUCCUGGCCCCAGCUGCAUCCAUUGACAUUGCACCAGAGGCCAUGGAAGUCCUUCAGCUGGGUGUAUGUGGGCUCCAUGUUCUGGGAAUGAAGUGUCUGCUUCCUGCACUGAGUUACCUUGCAGCGUCUGUGUUGGGGCCCCUGAAAGCCUCCUCGCCAGCCAAGUCCCUCUGGAGCUCUCUGGAGCAGGGGGCCUCCUUGUCUUUGUGGCCUGGGGAAGACCUAUGGAGGAAAUAAAUGGAAGUUAACGA